GAUUAUGAAAGAAAGAAAUGAAAUCUAAACUACAGAAUAUCCUCAGCCUCACAUUUACCUGAAGUAUGACUGAUCAAAUUCUGAGA